rnacentral:rRNA from 1 species
AUGGAGACCGCCACCGCCACCCAGGACCAAGGCCUCACCCGCCGCGCCGUCGGGGGCGUGGACGCCGCGCCGGCGCGGAUGCCCGGUUCCGGCGCCCGCGCCACCAGCCGGGACCCGAAGAGGAAGCUGGGCCGCGCCAAGCGGGGCCUCCGGUCGCUCGCGGCCGCCGUCACGGUCUCGGCCGCGCUCACCGCGGCCGCCUUCUACGCCUCCGGCGCCGGCUCGUCCUCGGGGACGGCCAAGGCGCCGUCGGCGGCGAUGGUGGCGAUCGCGCGGGCAGGGUCGGUGGCCGCGGAGGCCGUGAUGGCGCUGGCCGCGUGGAUGGUGUGGGCGGAGGGCGGGCUCCACGGGCGGCCCGGCGCGACGCUGGCGCCGUUCGCCGCGCAGCUCCUGGCGGCCGCGGCGUGGCCGGCGCUGGCGCUCAGGCUCGGGGCCGGGUGGGCCGGGAUGGCGUGCUGCGCCGCCAUGGCCGCCGGCGCUGGCGCCUGCGUCCGCGGGUUCGGCGGCGUGAACCCCGUCGCCGGCGACCUCGCCAAGCCGUGCGUCGCCUGGGCCGUGCUCCUCGCCGUGAUGAACUACAAGAUGCUGUAG